rnacentral:rRNA from 2 species
AGAUGCGAUCAUACCAGCACUAAAGCACCGGAUCCCAUCAGAACUCCGAAGUUAAGCUUGCUUGGGCGAGAGUAGUACUAGGAUGGGUGACCUCCUGGGAAGUCCUCAUGUUGCAUUCC